CACGUAGGGGGCAAGCGUUGUCCGGAAUUAUUGGGCGUAAAGAGCUCGUAGGCGGCUCGGUAAGUCAGGUGUCAAAUCCUCAGGCUCAACCUGGGGCUCCACCUGAUACUGCUGUGGCUAGAGUCCGGUAGGGGAGCGUGGAAUUCCUGGUGUAGCGGUGAAAUGCGUAGAGAUCCGGAGGAACACCAGUGGCGAAGGCGGCCGCCUGGACCUGACCUGACGCUGAGGCGCGAAGGCGUGGGGAGCGAACGGG
rnacentral:rRNA from 1 species